GAGACUAUACUUUCAGGGAUCAUUUCUGCAGUUCACUACUAGAGAUGUUUUUCUGAUUGUGUAGAGCACCGGAAACCACAAGGAGGAGGUACAGCAUCCUUUCCUGAACGUGAAGUGAGCUCUUGGUGUUGCUUUGCAACAGUGCAUUUGCCAUUGAUGAUCACAUGAUCAUUCUUGCUUUUCUUCGGGGUGGGGGGUGGGCAAGAGGGAGAGGAUGCAGACUGAGUGGA
rnacentral:snoRNA from 1 species